AUGAAGAGGACGGUGGCGGCGAGUCCCGCGGUCAGGAAGAAGGCGGCGGAGGCUCCGGCCGCGGCGCCCGCACCCAAGAGGCGCGCGUCCGCCGGAACCGCCAGGCGCAGGCCACGGAAGCGGAUCCGCGAGGAUAAGCUCGUCAGCGACGGGGAUCUCAUCAGCCAUGGCGAUCUCAUCAGCAAACUUCCCGAUGACGUCCUCGGCACCAUCAUCUCCCUCCUUCCCACCAAGGACGGCGCCCGUACGCAGGCCAUCGCCCGAAGAUGGCGUCCCCUCUGGCGCUCCUCGCCUCUCAACCUCGACGCCUCCUACCACCUUCGCCGCGACGAGUUCAAGCGCCUCUCCUUAGUCUCUAGGAUUCUGUCAGACCACCCUGGCCCGGCCCGCUGCUUCGCUUUCCGCUUCAUCCGCCUCCACAAAGCCAAAAAAAGGUUUGCCGAGGAUGCCGCUCAGAUCAAUAGUUGGUUCCACUCCCGAAGCCUCGACAACCUCCAGGAGCUCGAAAUCAGCUUCAGUCUACUUGAAUAUGGAUAUGGGCAGUCUGAGAAGGAGAAGCGCUAUCCGCUGCCACCGUCGGUGCUGCGCUUAGCAUCAACGCUCCACUUGGCCAGGAUUGGCUCCUGUGAUUUCCCAAAGGAGAUCGCACCUUCACUGAAUUUUCCCCUCCUCAGGCAGCUCCACCUAUGGCGCGUUUCCAUCUCCGAGGAUGUCUUCUCUGGGGUGCUGUCUGGCUGCCAUGUCUUGGCGAACUUAUAUCUGUCGGAGAUUCGUGAGGUAGGUAGCCUCCGCAUUUGCUCGCCAACUCUCAGGAUCAUCGUCAUAACUUGUUUGUUUGAAGGCAAAGGAGAAUUGGUCAUUAUGGAGGCCCCUCGCCUUGAAAGGUUGCUGUUACGUCCGCCAGUCUUAGGUAGUGAGAUUAUCCGGGUUGUUAAGGCACCUAAACUGGAGAUGUUGGGCCUUUUGUCUCCCUGCAUCUCAGAAAUAGAAAUUGUUAAUAUUAUCUUUAAGGGAUUGAUCUCAUCCAGCUCGGAAAGCUCAAUACGCACCGUAAAGGUUUUGGCUCUCAAUUUUUCUAGCCCUGCUUUGGAUGCAAUUCUUGACAUCCUUAGAUGCUUCCCCUGCUUGCAAAAGCUCUAUGUCAUUUGGGACAAAUAUGUAAAGGCAGAGAUAAAAAAUGCGCGUCAGUAUGACCCACUAGAUCCAAUCAAAUGCCUUGAUAACCAUCUCAAAGUACUGGUGUUGAAGAAUUACAAAGGUGGUGAGGAAGAUGUUGGCUUCGCCAAGUUCUUUGUUUUGAAUGCGAAAGUAGUAAAGGAAAUCAACUUUGGAGUGUGUAAGGAGAUUGGCAUCGACAAGAGCUGGAUGACUAAUCAACUCAGGCUGCUAGAAGUGGAAACUAGAGCUUCUCAAGACGCUCAAUUGAAAUUUGGAAGUGGUUCUUAUUGUUGGGGUACUUAUUUGGAUACCAAGGACUUGUGCAUUGCCGACCCUUUCAGCUGUUGUUUUGCAGACGGGGUAGAUGCGCUUUCAGAAGCAUAUAUGUGA
rnacentral:rRNA from 1 species